UACGUAGGCAGCGAGCGUUGUUCGGAAUUAUUGGGCGUAAAGAGCUCGUAGGCGGUCUGUCACGUCGGCUGUGAAAUCCCGAGGCUCAACCUCGGGUCUGCAGUCGAUACGGGCAAACUAGAGUAUUGCAGGGGAGACUGGAAUUCCUGGUGUAGCGGUGAAAUGCGCAGAUAUCAGGAGGAACACCGGUGGCGAAGGCGGGAUCCUGGGCCAGUACUGACGCUGAGGAGCGAAAGCGUGGGGAGCAAACAGG
rnacentral:rRNA from 1 species